GUCUACGGUCAUGCUACCCUGAACAAGCCCAAUCCUGGCUGAUCUCAGAAGCUAAGCAGAGUAGGGCCUGGUUAGUACUUGGAUGGGAGAUCACCUAGGAAGACCAGGUGCUGUAGGCA
rnacentral:rRNA from 1 species